CCCAGCGGGGUCUCCCUGCCGGGCUGUGCGCUAGUAGCCGGAGCCCUCGGCGGAGCGGGACCGGACUGCGACCUUUGGCGGGGCUCGGGGCGCCAGGAAGGGUGCGCAGGCGCCGAGGGGUUGGACACAGGUGCAGACUCGGCACUCGAAGCCCUGGACUCCCUCAGACUCUCUCCUCUGUCUUCUCCCCCAGACGCCCAUCUCUCCCGAUCCCCCUCGCUGCCCCUACUGCCCUGCGUCUGCAACCCAGGGGUUCGGGGUGCCCUCGGUGAGGUAGCUGCGCCUCCUCCGGAGUUAGCCCUGGCUGGAGUAAGCCUGGAGGAGGGAUGGAGCCCGAAGACUGAAGGCCCUGGAGGAGAACCGUUGUCAACCGACAAGCACCAGCGGGGCUCCUAGGAGAAAAGUUCGAAGCCCUCUCGAUUUGCCUGAUGGAGACCACAGCACGCCUGGAACGAGUAUUCAGUGCAGACCACCUUGGGUUCGACUCCUCAAACUACAGUCAGAGGCUGCGCCUCCUGGACCGGCCCUCGGGACAGACUCAACACACAGAACGAGUUCGAGUUCGUAGUCGGCUUUCGGGCACCAGGUGUGCACUACCUAGCGUCGGUAUGGGACCCCUCAGAGGCUCUGCAGAGUGGUCCUUGCCCGAGAUGUUCCCACAGCCCUCAAAGCUGCGCCAGCGUCGCCGCCAGCGGCUCUGCGAGAGAGGCGGGCUGGUGCAGACUGAUUCCCCCUCUCACUCGGAAGCCUGACCACGAACCAGGCCGAUUGCUUGGUGCAGGUUGGGGACAAAGAUGGAACACCAAGCAAGACUUUGGGACUGGUUGGGAAGAGGAAAGCCCAGCACACCGCGCCCUCUCCAAGUUCUUUCCGGACGGUGCAAGUACCCCCAUUCGUUUCAGUAUCGGAAGUUAGAUGCAGAGGUUGGGAGCUAUGAACUGGACCAAACCACACCAGGUCCUGUUCUGCUUUCAGAAUUCGACAGCGAUAUAGUGAUGCGCGGGGGCGCUGGGUGCAGACAGAACAACCAACCUCCUGAAUGAGAGGGGGAGGGGGAGCCCUGUAGGGCAGAGGACUUGGGGUGCCGCGUGGGUAAGGAACGGGCACUUUGGGGGAGCCAGCGCGGUCUGAAGUCCAGUUGGUGCCCUAUCCCGCAGAUGUCUGGCGGGACUGCCAUCCCGGGUGAACCAAGGACGACUAAGUUCACACUCGAACACAGGACCUCCAGGAAGGCGAGCUGAUACACAUGCCUACGAUUUCGUUUCGAGCAGCACCUGAGCAGCUCGAGGUCACGCUGCAGGUGGUCGCUCUCUCUCAACGAAACCUCAAAGCAAACCUAUAUGUAUACUUCUACACUACAUAGAAAAUAAAUUGUAAUAGAUACUA